rnacentral:rRNA from 1 species
GACGAACGCUGGCGGCGUGCUUAACACAUGCAAGUCGAACGAAGUGGCGAACGGGUGAGUAACGCGUAAUCAACCUGCCCUUCAGCGGGGGACAACAGUUGGAAACGACUGCUAAUACCGCAUACUGAAGGUGGGGAUUGCGUCUGUUUAGCUAGUUGGAGGGGUAACGGCCCACCACGGCGAUGAUGAGGAGCAGGUCUGAGAGGAUGAACGGCCACAUUGGGACUGAGACACGGCCCAGACUCCUACGGGAGGCAGCAGUGGGGAAUCUUCCGCAAUGGACGGAAGUCUGACGGAGCAACGCCGCGUGAGUGAUGACGGCCUUCGGGUUGUAAAGCUCUGUUAAUCGGGACGCGGUACCGGAAUAGAAAGCCACGGCUAACUACGUGCCAGCAGCCGCGGUAAUUC